CGGACGGGUGAGUAAUGUCUGGGAAACUGCCUGAUGGAGGGGGAUAACUACUGGAAACGGUAGCUAAUACCGCAUAACGUCGCAAGACCAAGAGGGGACCUUCGGGCCCCUUGCCAUCGGAUGUGCCCAGAUGGGAUUAGCUAGUAGGUGGGGUAACGGCUCACCUAGGCGACGAUCCCUAGCUGGUCUGAGAGGAUGACCAGCCACACUGGAACUGAGACACGGUCCAG
rnacentral:rRNA from 1 species